rnacentral:rRNA from 1 species
AUUGAACGCUGGCGGAAGGCUUAACACAUGCAAGUCGAACGAGCGGCGGACGGGUGAGUAAUGUCUGGGAAACUGCCUGAUGGAGGGGGAUAACUACUGGAAACGGUAGCUAAUACCGCAUACCAUCGGAGGUGCCCAGGUGGGAUUAGCUAGUAGGUGGGGUAAAGGCUCACCUAGGCGACAAUCCCUAGCUGGUCUGAGAGGAUGACCAGCCAUACUGGAACUGAGACACGGUCCAGACUCCUACGGGAGGCAGCAGUGGGGAAUAUUGAGCAAUGGGCGCAAGCCUGAUGCAGCGCUGCCGCGUGUAUGAAGAAGGCCUUCGGGUUGUAAAGUACUUUCAGCGGGGAGGCGUUACCCGCAGAAGAAGCACCGGCUAACUCCGUGCCAGCAGCCGCGGUAAUAC